rnacentral:rRNA from 1 species
GAUGAACGCUAGCUACAGGCUUAACACAUGCAAGUCGAGGGGAAACGACAUCGAAAGCUUGCUUUUGAUGGGCGUCGACCGGCGCACGGGUGAGUAACGCGUAUCCAACCUGCCCACCACUUGGGGAUAACCUUGCGAAAGUAAGACUAAUACCCAAUGAUAUCCCACGAAGACAUCUGAAUGGGAUUAAAGAUUUAUCGGUGAUGGAUGGGGAUGCGUCUGAUUAGCUUGUUGGCGGGGUAACGGCCCACCAAGGCAACGAUCAGUAGGGGUUCUGAGAGGAAGGUCCCCCACAUUGGAACUGAGACACGGUCCAAACUCCUACGGGAGGCAGCAGUGAGGAAUAUUGGUCAAUGGGCGAGAGCCUGAACCAGCCAAGUAGCGUGCAGGAAGACGGCCCUAUGGGUUGUAAACUGCUUUUAUAAGGGAAUAAAGUGGGUCACGUGUGACUUUUUGCAUGUACCUUAUGAAUAAGGACCGGCUAAUUCCGU